UGGAAAUAUAGGUGAAAGAGUUGGAAGCUUCACCCAACUGAGCACUUCAGUUUCUUUGCAACUCUUCCGAGUCUCACCCUUCUUCUCCAAGGCUAUCGGUUGAGCCGUCGUCAAUGCAACCGCGACCAAACCGCCGAUCGAUCCAUCGAGAUGUUCACGUCGAAUCCACCACCUAAUCCGUAGCCUCAUACCACCAAAUCUCACUCCUCCUCCCUCCAUGUAUUCUUAUCAUGGGCUUCAAGAACGCCGCCAUGAUCGGGACAAGGUGUGAGACGACAUGGGUUUGGGUGGUGAUGGUGGUGGUGGUGAUUCUUGCGGCGGCGAUGGCGGCGGUGGUGGAGGGUGUGGGGUGGCCAGAGCCGGAGCUGGAGGCGUUGCGCGACGAGCGGGGCGGGCUGGUGGCGCUGCGGGACGCGCUGCGGUCGGGGAGGGACCUGCACUCGAACUGGACGGGGCCGCCGUGCCACGGCGGGCGGAGCCGGUGGUACGGCGUGGCGUGCGACGGCGACGGGCGGGUGGUCGGCGUGCAGCUCGACGGCGCGCAGCUCACGGGCGCGCUCCCCGCGGGGGCGCUCGCCGGCGUGGCGCGGCUGGAGACGCUGUCCCUGCGCGACAACGCCAUCCACGGCGCGCUCCCGCGGCUCGACGCGCUGGCGCGGCUCCGCGUCGUGGACCUGUCGAGCAACCGGUUCUCGGGGCCCAUCCCGCGCGGGUACGCGGCGGCGCUGGGUGAGCUCACGCGGCUCGAGCUCCAGGACAACCUGAUCAAUGGCACGCUGCCGGCGUUCGAGCAGGACGGGCUCGCCGUGUUCAACGUGUCGUACAACUUCCUCCAGGGCGAGGUGCCCGACACCCGCGCGCUCCGCCGGUUCCCCGCCACCGCGUUCGCCCACAACCUCAGGCUCUGCGGCGAGGUUGUGAGGACGGAGUGCCGCCGCGAGGGCUCGCCAUUCGACGCCGCGCCGGCCGGCGGCGGCGGCAGCGGCAGCGAUGGUGGUGAUCGGGUCUUCGGGGCGCGCGACGCCGCCGCGCCGCCGGCGCGGUGGCGCAAGCCCAUCCGGUUCAGGAUAGCGAGGUGGAGCGUCGUGGUGAUCGCGCUCAUCGCCGCGCUGGUGCCGUUCGCCGCGGUGCUCAUCUUCCUCCACCACAGCAAGAAGAGCCGGGUGGUUCGUCUCGGCGGCGGUCGCGCCUCAUUGACGGCGACGUGACCAGUGGCAGGUGACAUCAAGGACAAGGCGGCGGAGCAAGCCGGCAAGAAGGUGAGCAGUGGCAGCGGCAACGGAAGCCGGAGCACGACGGAGUCCGGCAAGGGAGCGGCGGAUCAGCUACAGUUCUUCCGGCCGGAGAAGGCGACCUUCAGCCUCGACGAGCUGUUCCGUUCGACGGCGGAGAUGCUCGGCAAGGGCCGGCUAGGGAUCACCUACCGCGUCGCCCUCCACGCCGGCGGCGGCGGCGGCGGCGGCGGCGGCCCGGUCGUCGUCGUCGUGAAGCGGCUGCGCAACAUGGGGCACGUGCCACGCAAGGACUUCGCCCACACCAUGCAGCUCCUCGGCAAGCUCCGCCAUGAGAACGUCGUCGAGGUCGUCGCCUGCUACUUCUCCAAGGACGAGAAGCUCGUCGUCUACGACCACGUCCCCGGCCGCAGCCUCUUCCACCUCCUCCACGAGAACAGAGGAGAGGGGAGGACGCCGCUGCCAUGGCCGGCGAGGUUGGCGAUAGCGAAGGGCGUGGCGCGGGGGCUGGCCUACCUGCACCAGACGCUGCCGCUCUUCCACCGGCCGCCGCACGGCGACCUCAAGUCGUCGAACGUGCUCGUCGUCUUCCCGGGGCCCGGCGGCCGCGGAGGCGGCGGCGGCGACGCGGUGCCGGUGGCCAAGCUGACUGACCACGGGUUCCACCCGCUGCUGCCGCACCACGCGCACCGCCUCGCGGCGGCCAAGUGCCCGGAGCUCGCGCGCGGGAGGCGGCGGCUCUCCUCCCGCGCCGACGUGUUCUGCCUCGGCCUCGUGCUGCUCGAGGUGGUCACCGGGAAGGUCCCCGUCGACGAGGACGGCGACCUGGCGGAGUGGGCGCGGCUGGCGCUGAGCCACGAGUGGUCGACGGACAUCCUCGACGUGGAGAUCGUCGCCGACCGGGGCCGCCACGGCGACAUGCUGAGGCUCACCGAGGUCGCCCUGCUCUGCGCCGCCGUCGACCCCGAGCGCCGGCCCAAGGCGCACGACGUCGUCAGGAUGAUCGACGACAUCGCCGCCGGCUCCGCCGCCGCCGCCGGAGACGGGGAGGCGACGGCGGGGCGAGAGCUCGCGCUGCGGUGAGCUCUGCACAGAAUUUGCCGGGAGAAGUGUUGUAUCCAUUUGUAGCUGUGUUUGUGUCGAUUUUAGGCCUCGUUUGGCAUGGGCCAGAAUUCUAGUUCAAAUUUGAAGUUCAUCUUGGGAAGGAGGAUUUGGCCCAUUUACAAAGGAGGCUUAAUCUUUUCUUAAUGUAAAGUUGAGAUUGGGAUUUGAUCGGUUUUUAAAUUGGCCCAUUAGUCUUGUUAAACUUUUUCUGGGGGAAAAAAACUCAACUACCCAGAGGUGCCUAUGUCUGUUCAAA